rnacentral:rRNA from 1 species
CUCGUAGGCGGUUCGUCGCGUCCGGUGUGAAAGUCCAUCGCCUAACGGUGGAUCUGCGCCGGGUACGGGCGGGCUGGAGUGCGGUAGGGGAGACUGGAAUUCCCGGUGUAACGGUGGAAUGUGUAGAUAUCGGGAAGAACACCAAUGGCGAAGGCAGGUCUCUGGGCCGUUACUGACGCUGAGGAGCGAAAGCGUGGGGAGCAAACA